rnacentral:rRNA from 1 species
GGGUUGUGAGGUUAAGCGACUAAGCGUACACGGUGGAUGCCCUGGCAGUCAGAGGCGAUGAAGGACGUGCUAAUCUGCGAUAAGCGCCGGUAAGGUGAUAUGAACCGUUAUAACCGGCGAUUUCCGAAUGGGGAAACCCAGUGUGAUUCGUCACACUAUCAUUAACUGAAUCCAUAGGUUAAUGAGGCGAACCGGGGGAACUGAAAC